rnacentral:rRNA from 1 species
GGAGGAAAAGAAACCAACAGGGAUUGCCCUAGUAACGGCGAGUGAAGCGGCAACAGCUCAAAUUUGAAAUCUGGCGCAAGCCCGAGUUGUAAUUUGGAGAGGAUGCUUCUGGGCAGCGGCCGUUCUAAGUUCCUUGGAACAGGACGUCAUAGAGGGUGAGAAUCCCGUAUGUGACCGGCGCGCACCCUCCACGUAGCUCCUUCGACGAGUCGAGUUGUUUGGGAAUGCAGCUCUAAAUGGGAGGUAAAUUUCUUCUAAAGCUAAAUACCGGCCAGAGACCGAUAGCGCACAAGUAGAGUGAUCGAAAGAUGAAAAGCACUUUGGAAAGAGAGUUAAAUAGCACGUGAAAUUGUUGAAAGGGAAGCGCUUGCAACCAGACUUGGCGGCGGUGUUCCGCCGGGCUUCUGCCCGGUCCACUCGCCGCCGCCAGGCCAACAUCAUCUGUGGCCGCCGGAGAAGACGCGGGGAAUGUGGCUCCCUCGGGAGUGUUAUAGCCCCGCUUGAUACGGCGCGCCGCGGGUGAGGUCCGCGCUUCGGCAAGGAUGUUGGCGUAAUGGUUGUCAGCGGCCCGUCUUGAAACACGGACCAAGGAGUCUAACAUCUAUGCGAGUGUUCGGGUGUCAAACCCUUGCGCGUAAUGAAAGUGAACGGAGGUGGGAACUUUUUGUGCACCAUCGACCGAUCCUGAUGUCCUCGGAUGGAUUUGAGUAAGAGCAUAGCUGUUGGGACCCGAAAGAUGGUGAACUAUGCCUGGAUAGGGUGAAGCCAGAGGAAACUCUGGUGGAGGCUCGCAGCGGUUCUGACGUGCAAAUCGAUCGUCAAAUUUGGGUAUAGGGGCGAAAGACUAAUCGAACCAU